rnacentral:rRNA from 1 species
UACGUAGGGUGCAAGCGUUGUCCGGAAUUAUUGGGCGUAAAGAGCUCGUAGGCGGCUUGUCGCGUCUGCUGUGAAAUCCCGAGGCUCAACCUCGGGCCUGCAGUGGGUACGGGCAGGCUAGAGUGCGGUAGGGGAGAUUGGAAUUCCUGGUGUAGCGGUGGAAUGCGCAGAUAUCAGGAGGAACACCGAUGGCGAAGGCAGAUCUCUGGGCCGCUACUGACGCUGAGGAGCGAAAGCAUGGGGAGCGAACAGG